AUCCAGCUGGCUAGUCCCAAAUAGGACGAAACGCGCGUCCUGGAU
rfam:Schistosoma mattheei strain Denwood, Zambia genome assembly, scaffold: SMTD_scaffold0001103